CGUAUUCGUGUGUAUUCCGUCUUUUUCUAGCGCCGGCCCACCACAUGAUUCCGUCUUCAUCCUCUUCUCUCUCCCGCACGCACUGCGGGAGUCACCGUCGCCGUCGGUGUCUUCGGCGGCGCCUCGAAUCUGUCCCGCCGGUGGCCGUCAUCGACCGCCGAAAGCUCCGCAUCUUCGUCCUCCUCGAGCGCCGCCGCUGGAGACUACACUGCGCUUGGUGGUUCUGGAGUAUUAGAUCUGAGAUUUCUGUGUGCUUUGUUCCCUUCUACGAGAAAGGAAAUAUCCCUCUUUGCCUUCUAACUGUGCUAUUUUUCUUGGCCCUACGCAGAGCACUAGAUUUCCCAUGAAGAUGCAGACUGAACUCUCCUGCGUAGGUGGUGAUCAAUUUGCCAGGAACAAGACCAUCUCCAUUGGUUCUGUUCGUCCAGUCUGUUUUAUUCCACAUCUGGUAUUGUUUUCUUUGGUUCUUUAGUUGUCAAGAUAUAUUAUGAUACGACAAUUUAUUUUAAUUCCUUGACCGGUAACCAUCUUUUGUGUCAUGUACAUUAUUAGCGCUUGCCGACACUAUGUAGUAGUUAAAAAAUGCUCUGUUAAUGUUACAUUCUUACUUGGAGAGUUGGUUAAUAGGAUGCACAGGGGUGUAGGCUUUUUUUGGUGCCUGGGUACAUUUCAUUCAUCCUUGGUUGUAACAUAUAUUGCAGUCAACUUUAUUUCAUAUUCUUGGUACAUUUGGACUAGGAAUUAUGUUCUUUAAACAUCCGAAACUACAUCCCUUGGCACAGUGGCACACAGUUACCAUUAGCUUUGAUGGUAUCUUGUUGCAUCCAACUAGUCUAUUAUAUUGAGACAGUUCAGUUCAGUUCAGUUCCAUAUAGGUGCAAAGUUAUAUGGUAAUAAUAUAUUAAUAACUAAAUUUGUAAGCACUGUAGGCAGGUCCAUAUGUGUAAAAUUGCAUCUGCAGCUAUCUUAUUGGUAACCUGGAAUGGACACCAUUUUACAUGCAUAUAUGCUAAAGUGAUGAAAAGGAUUAAUGUUCUCACUUGAGAAUGCUUGUAAUGUUCUGAGAAUAUUUCCCUUGUUGUCGACUUAGCAUACAUUAUAUAUCAUAAACUGAUUAUUAUGUUCUGAAUGCAUUUGAAGUGUCGUUUAACCUUAAUAAAUAUACACAUUUACUUGUAUAGGGUGUGGAGAAAAAAAUUUGAUAUCCUCCUCAAGACUGUCAAGGUCAUGCAGUCACUCCCAGCUAGUAAAGUCUCUAUUUUCAAUUGUAUUCAGUGUGGGCCUUCUAGAUUCUAGUACUGGAUUAUGCACAGCUGGUUAGUGGAAGACAUUUGGUACAGGGGGACGUGGAGUGAUGCCAACUUGGUGAAUUGUUCUCUCGAGGCUUUUGAAAUCGUGGCUAUUUAGUUGCUUAGUCCUUUUAUGGUGUAGCAUGGCUCUUGAUUCAUUAUUUGAAACUACAAAAAUGUGCUCAUUAUGAAGUUACAUUUCAUUGCUCUAUAUAGGAUAGCAAAAUGUUCGAAAAUUACCUAAAAUGUCCUGAUCAUGAGAUGGGCAAACUAAAAUGUGCCUUUCAUUUAGUUGAUAUUUCGACCUCUAUAUAGCAUAUUGAAAUGUCAGGUAUUUUGUCAAAAUACCAGUCUUGAUCACAAUGUGCGCAAUGCAUUUGGUCUUGAAUGAGACCCAUUCAGCUCUUAUGUUUUAUUUUUACCUCAACUCACUCAUAAUUUAUUCCAGUUUAUAGAUGCGAGUAUCUAUCAUGACAUAAGGAGACGUGAUACAUUUUGUCCACAGGACAUGACUUGCAAAUUUCAGUAUGGGACAUGACUUGCUAUUAAAUGAAAUGGUCCCAAUAAGUACUUAGUGUUGAGUUAUACAUAUGCAGAGUCGACCAAAGGAACCUUUUCAUAUUAUUUUCCAAAAUACUAACUACGUUCCAGGAUCCACUCAAGCAACAGAGGCUCUCCAUUGGAUCUGCUUGUUCAGGUCCGUUUCUCUCCCAACCAGGUAGUUGUUAGAUCUAGCACUAGCUUUUUUUUAACUUGUCGCGGCAACCAAAAGAGAUGUUUUGGAUAUCUAGUUUUAUUUUUUUAAAUGUACUUCUAUGCUUUACCGUCAUAGUGAUAGUGGAAUUGAGUUUCUGUGUUCAAGUAUCUAAAAUAGUUCUACAAUAGUUUACCCCAGCAGUGUCCUAAAAUAGUAGUCACCCAUAAAACCUUUUGAGAACUCCAUACUAUUGUGGGGUUACGAUUCAUUGUGAUUAAUAUUAACUUGCUGCUAGUUGCUAUGCAAAGUUAAGAUAUUAUAAUUCGAGGUUUAGUUUGGGUCCUGAUUGAAUUCAAAAUGAAAUGUCCUUGAUUAGUCAUCAUAAUCACAAGUCAAAAUGUAAGAUGGCUUGGUACAUUUCAGAUGCCAUAUGGACAUAUGGUGAUUAGAACUGUUACUUUAUGUUGUCGAAAUCAUAUUAGUCCCUUUGGUUGCAUAAUGUUCUCUUAUGUGUUCAAACGUUACCAGAAAACACAAAAUAGAUACUCAUCAUAUAUCCUAGACACUACACAUAUCAUUUAGCUGAUACUUUCUUUCUACUUUUAGGAUGCAAGUUAAACAAGCCUCGAGAUGAAUUGUUCCAUUAUUCAAUUUUAAAAUGAUGAAUUGGUCUCUCUCUUUCUGCUUAUGUUCGGGCUUGAAGAUUCUCGUGAAAGACCAUUUGAAGCUCUAAAGUCUGUUUUCAGCUUCGAAAAUUCUCAAGAUGAAUUGUUCCAUUAUUCAAUUUAAAAUCCAUAGAUGUUGGAAAUGAGUUUACUUGUACCAUUAAUGUGAGCUUGUAAAAAUGUUCCAACUGGACACUAGAACUUACCAAGCAAUAUGCAUCCCCAGUGCCAUAUUUUGGUUGCUAACGAAGGCAUCGUGGCAUUCACACAAGCGUCAAAAAGUUUGGUACAUUUUAGCGGAGAUAUGCGAGGGUGCAUCUGAACUCAACAUGCAUUUUGUGAAGUUGUUUUAGAAUUCAACUUAGAUUUGUGCAGAUGCCCUUAUAUUUGUGAUAAAUUUUGAUGGCGGCAGCAAAGAUCCACACGAAUGCCGCAACCAUUCAGAAAUUCAGGCAGCAGAUGCUGUAUGAGGUUUUUGGGUUGAAGGAUAACAAAGGUGUGCUGCCAUCCGUUUAGGUCCAGACAAUUGACGAUUAACAGUAAGCAGGCCUGCCCGACGCUAGGAGCAUUGUGGAGACGGCAAUCCUUUUGUACACGCUAGGAGAGCGCAUGAGUCAGACAAUUGACGAUUAGCAGUAAUCAGUGCGGCUGUGGUUAGCAGGCAUGCCGGACCUUAGCAGCUUUUGUGGAGACCGUAAACUUUCGUCUAUCUUGCCAGACAUGCCAUCCUGUGUUACAUGUUUGAAUUUAUAUGCUUAUACAUAGGAACAUGACAGUUCUGGCUAAAAUAUAUAAUUACACCCACCAUAUAUUAAUUUUUAAGAGUGAUAUGUAACUUAAAUUCAUAUAAAUGGUAAGGUUUGUGCAAGGCCUGUGUAACUUGAAGCCUUGGAUAUAAGAAGCAUAUCAAUGAUAUGAAUGCGACUUGGCUCUGUUGUG